AGAGUUUGAUCCUGGCUCAGAUUGAACGCUGGCGGCAGGCCUAACACAUGCAAGUCGAGCGGGUGAGAAGAGCUUGCUCUUCGAUUCAGCGGCGGACGGGUGAGUAAUGCCUAGGAAUCUGCCUGGUAGUGGGGGACAACGUUUCGAAAGGAACGCUAAUACCGCAUACGUCCUACGGGAGAAAGCAGGGGACCUUCGGGCCUUGCGCUAUCAGAUGAGCCUAGGUCGGAUUAGCUAGUUGGUGAGGUAAUGGCUCACCAAGGCGACGAUCCGUAACUGGUCUGAGAGGAUGAUCAGUCACACUGGAACUGAGACACGGUCCAGACUCCUACGGGAGGCAGCAGUGGGGAAUAUUGGACAAUGGGCGAAAGCCUGAUCCAGCCAUGCCGCGUGUGUGAAGAAGGUCUUCGGAUUGUAAAGCACUUUAAGUUGGGAGGAAGGGCAUUAACCUAAUACGUUAGUGUUUUGACGUUACCG
rnacentral:rRNA from 1 species